rfam:Triticum aestivum genome assembly, contig: Triticum_aestivum_CS42_TGACv1_scaffold_578319_7BL
CUACUACUCCCUCCGUCCGAAAAUACUUGUCAUUGAAAUGGAUGUAUCUAGAUGUAUUUUAGUUCUAGACACAUCCAUUUUGAUGACAAGUAAUUCCAGACAGAGGGAGUAUUAU